UCGAACUGUAGUUAGCCAUGUGGCAGUCUAGUACCAUAACCACCACAUCACUGAAAGUCAUGUCUUCCAGAGGGUAGUCAGAGCCAGGGUGGUGUGAAGUUCAGGAAGUCAGGGAGAAGCCACAGAAAGGGGUGCACUCUCCCGAGCACCCUGCUGCAUCAGGCACUUUGUGUGCCUGUGGCCUCUGGGCCAUUCUACCAAAUAAGCCAAGCCGUCCAGCACAGGGAGGCUGGCUAGGGUGUCCACAUCACUUCCCCUCCUUUGGGACUCUGCUAACAGACUAAAGUUAUUGCUGCUCAAUGUCAGGAACAUAUUUAUAGAAUCCCAGUCAUGGGAUCUGGGAACUGGAAAGGAGGAAGGAGUGGAAUGGUCUUGCUCAAUUCUUCCCAGCCCUCUCUGCUCAUUGGAAUUACUAGGGAGCUUUUAAGCUUAAACAAAAUACAUUUGAGUCUUGGAACCCUGUUAAUGUUUCACAUAUUUAAAGAGAAGGAGAGUGAAAAUAAAUAGAAUCAUCAAGGGUAGAAUGUAAACAAAAACAGAUGAUCUAACCUGUAUUUCAAAUAACACGGCCACAGAGAAAGUAACUCUGAAUGUACUGUUCAGACUCCAGGUUCUCAGGCCAAAGACAAAUUCUAGCUCAGCAGUUGUCAAACAUUUUGGUCUCAGGACUUACGGUUAUUAUGUGUUAGUAUAAAUAGCAUGAUGUUUUAUGACAAACAACUAUUUUUUCCCCAAAUACAAAGCCUUAGUGAGAGAAAUGGCAUGAUUCUUCAUGCAAACGUCUCUUGUCUAGCUUAAUAGGAGACAGCUGGACUCUUAGAUCUGCUUCUGCACUCAAUCUGAUAAGAUAUGUUGUGUUAGUUGAAGUCUAUGAAGAAAAUACAGAUUUGCAUGAAUAUGUAGUUGGGAAAGGGAGGUAUAUUUUAGCAGUGUCAUGGCAUGCAGCCUCUGAAAACUCCACUAUACACUUGUCAGAGAAUGGGAGUAAAAGGGUACUCUUAUGAAAAUGUCUUUGACCUCACCCACCCCUUGGAAGGAUCUCAGAGAGCUCCAAGGGUCUCCAGGGCACCCUUGGAUAAUUGCCAUUCCAAACAAAUGCUGACCUCUAAUUGGUAGGUUUUGUUCCCAUGGAGCCAUGGGCUAGCAGUUCUACAACUGCUCAGUGUGUUCUAGGACUUCACUGGAGAUGCCUGUGGGUCACAAGAGCCAAGCGCCCCGCUGCUGAUGCUAAGGGCAGACUAGGGCGAGCCCUGUGAUGCUGGACAGGAACUGGAGCCGCUCCCCAUCGCUCACAUUAUUGCCUGAGCUCUGCCUCCUGUUGGAUCAGCAGUGGCAGUGGAUUUUCAUAGGAGCCUCCAGAUGGGACUGCCUGGUUGCAGGAAAACAAGCUUAAGCACCCCCUGAUCCUGUACUGUGAAACCUUGACGUGUAGGGGCCUGCUUAUGAUUGUGAGCAAGAAGGAAGAGUCAAGAAAAGACUGGAUACAAUUUGCAAAUCUAGGGCAGCUAUUUGGAGAUCUACAGCAAACAGAAUUUUCCAUUUCGUCUUCUCAGACCGCGGUUAACCACAGGUGACUGGAACCUCAGAAAACGAAACCACAGCAAACACACCUACCCUAUGGCGAAAACCUGAAAAAAAAAAUCAGGAAGAAAACCUAAAAGCUCUGUACACAGCAAUGGCCAAGAUCACUCUACAUGGAAAACUCAAACUGUUUCAAUAAAUGCAGAG